rnacentral:snoRNA from 1 species
GUUUGAUGCAAUGAGGACAAAUAAGCUCCCUCUUCUGAAGACAUUGAGGACGCUUGCUGGCAGAAUCGAACCCAAUAAAUCUAUUGCCACCACUGAGCUA